AGCGUUUGAUCCUGGCUCAGGAUGAACGCUGGCGGCGUGCUUAACACAUGCAAGUCGAACGAUGAUCCGGUGCUUGCGCCGGGGAUUAGUGGCGAACGGGUGAGUAACACGUGAGUAACCUGCCCUUGACCCUGGGAUAAGCCUGGGAAACUGGGUCUAAUACCGGAUAUGACUCCUCAUCGCAUGGUGGGGGGUGGAAAGCUUUUUGUGGUUUUGGAUGGACUCGCGGCCUAUCAGCUUGUUGGUGGGGUAAUGGCCUACCAAGGCGACGACGGGUAGCCGGCCUGAGAGGGUGACCGGCCACACUGGGACUGAGACACGGCCCAGACUCCUACGGGAGGCAGCAGUGGGGAAUAUUGCACAAUGGGCGAAAGCCUGAUGCAGCGACGCCGCGUGAGGGAUGACGGCCUUCGGGUUGUAAACCUCUUUCAGUAGGGAAGAAGCCCUCUUUGGGGGUGACGGUACUUGCAGAAGAAGCGCCGGCUAACUACGUGCCAGCAGCCGCGGUAAUACGUAGGGCGCAAGCGUUAUCCGGAAUUAUUGGGCGUAAAGAGCUCGUAGGCGGUUUGUCGCGUCUGCUGUGAAAGACCGGGGCUCAACUCCGGUUCUGCAGUGGGUACGGGCAGACUAGAGUGCAGUAGGGGAGACUGGAAUUCCUGGUGUAGCGGUGAAAUGCGCAGAUAUCAGGAGGAACACCGAUGGCGAAGGCAGGUCUCUGGGCUGUAACUGACGCU
rnacentral:rRNA from 1 species